rnacentral:misc_RNA from 1 species
UUUUUAAUUUUUUUUGCGCGUCGUGACAAAGAUAACGCACGUGCGCGAUAUAUAUUAAACCUGUUUUCAUAGUUUUGACGUUGUGGAUAUGAUUUAGCUCGCUGCUCAUUAUUCACGCGUGCUGGGGCGGCGUUGUGGCGCAAAAAGCGCGUUAUAAAUGGGGUGGAAAACACGUGUUGCUGCGGCAGAGAGGGAGGGGUGGAAACCGUGGUAAACUCGUCUCCGUAGUUGAGCGGGAGAGUAAGUAGGAGGGGCAACGGUUGUAAUGGUGGUAAGAAAGAAUGUACAAACGUCUUUGUUAUGGAGCUGGGAGGGGCAAGCAUAAGGGACGAAGGCGGAGGUAAAAUGUC